UACGUAGGGUGCAAGCGUUAAUCGGAAUUACUGGGCGUAAAGCGUGCGCAGGCGGUUGUGCAAGACAGAUGUGAAAUCCCCGGGCUUAACCUGGGAACUGCAUUUGUGACUGCAGGGCUGGAGUGCGGCAGAGGGGGAUGGAAUUCCGCGUGUAGCAGUGAAAUGCGUAGAUAUGCGGAGGAACACCGAUGGCGAAGGCAAUCCCCUGGGCCUGCACUGACGCUCAUGCACGAAAGCGUGGGGAGCAAACAGG
rnacentral:rRNA from 1 species